ACUAAUUAUGAACCUUUUGGCUUUCCAUACAGUAAUUGACAAAAUGUUGAGCUAAACCUUUACAGAGGUUAUUUGUAAGCUUUCUCUCUUGCUGAAUGUGGUUUCUUGCUGGGAGCGGGUAGUGGUGAUCGGCCAUCGUCUUUAUAAUACAAGAGGUUAUAAUAUGCCCUCCGAGCAGUGCUACGCCUAAGGGGCAGAUUGGACGCCACAGAGAGCCAUUAAGGGCCACCAAGGGCUUCUCAUCUGGGCUCUGGUCUAAAGAGGAAUAGCCUUUAUUGGGCACUACCAACCUGUGGGGAGGGAACACAGAGAGAGAGAGAGGACAGAGGAGAAAUUAUCAUUGGAGCAAAAAUAGCAUGUAACAGAAGAAGAGGUGGAGGAAGGAAUAUAAAUUCCCGAACAGGAAGGGAGAUUAUGCCGCAUCAACAAUCUUUUCAGGACAUCGAAUUUACAGCCGAUUACAGGAUAUGCUGAUUCCCACAGGCAGAGACUUGGCCUACAAAUACUGAAGCUCUUACUCACCUAUUUUCAUCUGCAGGGGUGAGGGCUUGUAGUUGAUAGUGACAGGUUCUCCCUCUCUGGUGUCUGAGUCUGCCUCUGAGGCUGUGGACGAGGCCGGGUCCUGGAGGCAAAUAGGAAGAUGGCAUGGACAGAACGAUGAGCAGAAAUGUGCAUUACUGAGGGCUUGAUGAAUAAUUUACGUCUUUUUGUAAUGCAUAAUAGACCCUUCUAUGCCCAGACAAUGUGAAUAAACAGUUCAUAAAGAGAUAAAA